UGAGUAACAUGACUUGUGGGUAAAGACGCGCAACCUCUGAAGAGUGUAAAACUGGUAUAUCAGCCGUGCUCACGGUCAUGAGCAGCUCGAACCCUCAGAUGAUUAAUUUAUGGAAUUAAAUUCAAUUUGUCAUAUGCAUUGCAUUGAGGGUGUUGUUAUCAUUUUUGUUCUACUACUUAAUUGGGUUGGUAUUUACUUAUACUUAGCAAUUGCUAAUAAAAUUUUGACCAACUUUAAAAGCAAUGCUCAGCUCUAACCAUCCUCUUUGGUUAGCCUUACACUUCACAUGAGCUCCACCUUUGGCGAGUUCAUGCACAUUAUUCUCCACAACUUGUUGAGCGAUGAACGUAUGUGAGCUCACUCUUGCUGCCUCACACCCCCCACAGGUUAAGAACAGGUACCGCAAGAUGAGGCGCAUGGAGGAUGCCAUGACGAGGUCGUGAGAGGUCUAGGUCGUCGUCUCCCAGUCAACUUUGGAUUGCUGGAUCGUUGUCUCCAUAUGAUGUAAUUAUUUAUUUAUUUUGUACAGAACUCCUAUUAUAUAGUAAAGAUGUGACAUUCGUUUCUGUACCGC
rnacentral:lncRNA from 1 species